rnacentral:tRNA from 1 species
GCUGAGGUAGCCAAGCGGCCUACGGCGCUGGUCUUGAAAACCAGUGGUGCACUGCACCUCGUGAGUUCAAAUCUCACCCUCAGCG